rfam:Aedes albopictus isolate Foshan contig142577, whole genome shotgun sequence.
UGCCCAGCAACUCCUAUCCCUACCUCGUCGUGGUACCGACCGGAAACUAUGAGCAACCUUAGGGAAGAUCGGGUAACCAACCCCGGUGGGAGCUUUGGUCGUAGGCUGACAGGGAAGG